CACGUAGGGCGCAAGCGUUGUCCGGAAUUAUUGGGCGUAAAGAGCUCGUAGGCGGUCUGUUGCGUCCGCUGUGAAAACUCGGGGCUUAACCCCGAGCCUGCAGUGGAUACGGGCAGACUAGAGGUAGGUAGGGGAGAAUGGAAUUCCCGGUGUAGCGGUGAAAUGCGCAGAUAUCAGGAGGAACACCGGUGGCGAAGGCGGGUCUCUGGACAGUUCCUGACGCUGAGGCACGAAGGCCAGGGGAGCAAACGGG
rnacentral:rRNA from 1 species